GCCUUCGUGGUGUAAUGGUUAGCACACUCGGCGCGUAUUCGAGAGGUCCAGGUUCAAGUCCCGGCCAGAGCU
rnacentral:tRNA from 1 species